GCCAGGGCCGAGACACAUCCGCACCAGCCCGUCUGCGCCGCGAGCCUACGGCCUGAUUUCUCCCCCUCCAUUGUUGUAGCUAACACAAAAGGCUACAACUCCAGUGUGGUCAAGGGGCCUGCGCUGAAUUACGCGCCAGGCCAUUCUUUGGGCCAGAGCCUUUGUGGGUUGGGAUGCAUCCCCUCUCCGUGCCAGAACUCCGGGCUGUCACACGCAGGCUGAAGCGCUUCGCAAGCGUGGGCGAGUUGUCUCCCUCCCUCCCUUCGUUACAUCCACCCACCUACCGCCUUUGUUCCUUUCAGCUGGCGGCCAGGCCCUCGUUUGCCUUUUGGCUGUGUUAAAUGGACAGUGUAACAAUGACUUGCUGAGGGAGACGUGCAUGAAGCUUCCACCACUAAACUCCUCAAGGGCAGACAUCUUCUCCCUUUGGUUCACCCAACACUUGAUCCCUGGCACCGAGUAGGAGUUCAAGAAACAUUUGCCAAGUGACUAAGUGAAUGAAUAGCAAAUGUGGAUCAGCCCUUUGAGCUUUGCACAUAUAUAUAUAUAUGUAUGUAUGUAUGUAUAGUCUAAAAUGAAAGUAUAUUGAAUUCUUUCGUAUACCUACCCCCAUACCUAUGAUCCAUAUCUCUAAAACCAAAC
rnacentral:lncRNA from 1 species